GCAUGCCGGGCAGGUUCGCUCAUCUGACACCGUAUCCCGUCCGCUCUCCACACGCUAAGCAAGUAAGAGGCAGAUUAGUAGUUGGGUCGGUGACGACCAGCGAACACCGGCUGCUGUAUGUU
rnacentral:rRNA from 1 species